rnacentral:rRNA from 1 species
AUUGAACGCUGGCGGCAGGCCUAACACAUGCCAGUCGAGCGGAUGAAGGGAGCUUGCUCCUGGAUUCAGCGGCGGACGGGUGAGUAAUGCCUAGGAAUCUGCCUGGUAGUGGGGGAUAACGUCCGGAAACGGGCGCUAAUACCGCAUACGUCCUGAGGGAGAAAGUGGGGGAUCUUCGGACCUCACGCUAUCAGAUGAGCCUAGGUCGGAUUAGCUAGUUGGUGGGGUAAAGGCCUACCAAGGCGACGAUCCGUAACUGGUCUGAGAGGAUGAUCAGUCACACUGGAACUGAGACACGGUCCAGACUCCUACGGGAGGCAGCAGUGGGGAAUAUUGGACAAUGGGCGAAAGCCUGAUCCGCCAUGCCGCGUGUGUGAAGAAGGUCUUCGGAUUGUAAAGCACUUUAAGUUGGGAGGAAGGGCAGUAAGUUAAUACCUUGCUGUUUUGACGUUACCAACAGAAUAAGCACCGGCUAACUUCGUG